rnacentral:tRNA from 1 species
UGCUCGGCUGGGAUUCGAACCCAGGACUCUUGUAUGCUAGACGAGCGCUUUACCAACUGAGCGC